GACGAACGCUGGCGGCGUGCCUAAUACAUGCAAGUAGAACGCUGAAGGAGGAGCUUGCUUCUCUGGAUGAGUUGCGAACGGGUGAGUAACGCGUAGGUAACCUGCCUGGUAGCGGGGGAUAACUAUUGGAAACGAUAGCUAAUACCGCAUAAGAGUAGAUGUCGCAUGACAUUUGCUUAAAAGGUGCAAUUGCAUCACUACCAGAUGGACCUGCGUUGUAUUAGCUAGUUGGUGAGGUAACGGCUCACCAAGGCAACGAUACAUAGCCGACCUGAGAGGGUGAUCGGCCACACUGGGACUGAGACACGGCCCAGACUCCUACGGGAGGCAGCAGUAGGGAAUCUUCGGCAAUGGACGGAAGUCUGACCGAGCAACGCCGCGUGAGUGAAGAAGGUUUUCGGAUCGUAAAGCUCUGUUGUAAGAGAAGAACGAGUGUGAGAGUGGAAAGUUCACACUGUGACGGUAUCUUACCAGAAGGGGACGGCUAACUACGUG
rnacentral:rRNA from 1 species